CCUGACCAACAUGGUGAAAUCCCGUCUCUACUAAAAAUACAAAAAUUAGUUGGGUGUGGUGGUGUGCGCCUGUAGUCCCAGGUACUUGGGAGGCUGAGGGAGGAGAAUUGCUUGAAUCCGGAAGGCGGAGGUUGCAGUGAGCCGAGAUUGCGCCGUUGUACUCCAGCCUGGGCAACAGAGCGAGACUCUGUCUCAAAAAAAGAAAAUAAGCUUUAUUUCAAUGUUGAAACCCAUUACAGCCCUCUAACAAUUAUUAUAUGUGUAGAAAAUAUUACAAAUUCUAUGAUACAUUUUAAUGGCUCCUUUUAAACUUAAUUUCGCCUAACCAAUGCUGACUGAUAUAACUAGUAAGCAAUACAGCUACCCUGUAAAUUAUUUUUCAAAAGGACAAUCAAGAGUUACUACCCCUGAAAUAAAGGUUUUAUUAAAGAUAAGAAUGACAUAUUUGACAGAAAAACAUUAAAAUUAUAUUUUUUUACUAUCUCAGAGAUAAAUAUGAAAGCAAUUACUUUACUAAUAACAUAUGAAUAAGAAAUAUAUUCUUCCUUCCUUUGAUGUUAAAGAGGCUAUUUAUGUUUGUAACAUUUCUGUUGGAGACAGGUGUUGAUAUGGUUUGGCUGUGUCCCCACUCAAAUCUCAUCUUGAAUUCCCAUGUGUUGUGGGAGGGACCUGGUGGCAAGUAAUUGAAUCAUGGGGGCAGGUUUUUCCUGUGCUGUUCUCCUGAUAGUGAAUCCGUCUCAUGAGAUCUGAUGGUUUUAAAAAGGGGAAUUUCCCCACACAAGCUCUCUUCUCUUGUCUGCUACCAUGUGAGAUGUGCCUUUUACCUUCCGCCAUGAUUGUGGGGCCUCCCCAGCCGCGUGGAACUGUAAGUCCAUUAAACUUCUUUCUUUUGUAAAUUGCCCAGUCUCAGGUAUGUCUUUAUCAGCAACAUGAAAAUGGACUAAUACAGGUAUCAAUUGCUAAAUGUUAUGGCUAGAGAUAUUAUAAGUUAAUAAGGUCACAUGGCUAAUUAAUAAUAGAGUUGCUGAAAACAUACCCUUCAGCUAGAUCUGGCACUUAUCCUCAUUUCUUUUGAACCAUCAGUGAAAUGCCCACCCAAAGACUCUGCUGUGGCUUGAAUGUCCUUGACAAAACUCACAUUGCAAUUUAAUUGGCCAGGCGUGGUGGCUCACACCUGUAAUCUCAGCACUUUGGGAGACUGAGGAAGGCAGAUCAUUUGAGGUCAGGAGUUUGGACCAGCCUGGGCAACAUGGUGAAACCUAGUCUCUACUAAAAAAAAAAAAAUUAGCCAGGUAUGGUGGCACAUGCCUGUGGCAUGUGGUGUGGUGGCACAUGCCUGUAGCAUGGUGGUAUGGUGGCACAUGCCGGUAGCAUGUGGUAUGGUGGCCUGUAGCAUGGUGGUAUAUGCCAGGUAUGGUGGCACAUGCCUCCUGAGACCCAGGAGGCUUGAACCCAGGAGGCGGAGGUUGCAGUGAGCUGAGAUUGCACCAUUACACUCCAGCCUGGGUGACAGAGCAAGACUCUGUCUCAAAAAAAAAAAAAAAAAUUAAUUGCCAUUUUAACAAUAUUAAGAGGUAGGGCCUUUAGGAGGCGAUUAGGUCAUGAGGGCUCUGCCCUCAUGAAUGGAUUAAUGCCAUUAUCAUAGAAAUGGGUUAGUUAUUGCAGGAGUGGGCUCCUGAUAAAAGAUUAAGUUCAACUCCCAUUUGUUCUCUCUGACUCACACUCAUUUGCCAUGUGAUGCCUUCCUCCAUGAGAUGACUCUCAUCAAUUGCUGACACCAUAUUCUUGGACAUCUUGGCCUCCAGACCAUGAGCCAAAUAAAUCUCUUUUCUUCAUAAAUUACCCAAUCUGUGGUAUUUUGUCCCAGCAGCAGAAAAUGGCCUGAGAGAGAACAUUGUUAUUGAGAAGUGGAGCUGUUGCUAUAACAAAUACCUGAAAAUAUGGAUAUGGCUUUGAAACAGGGUAAUGGGUAGAGGCUGGAAGAAUUUGAGGAGCAAGCUAGCAAAGGCCUAGAUUGUCCUAAACAGAGCAUUAAGGGUGAUUCUGGUGAGGGUUCAGAAAAGAAGAAAUGCAGGGAAAGUAGGUGAUACGGUUUAGAUUUGUGUCCCCGCCCAAAUUUCAUGUCUGAAUUUUAAUCCCCAGUAUUGGAGGAGGAGCCUGGUGGAGGGGAUUGGAUCAUGGGGACAGACUACCUCCUUGCUGUUCUUGUGAUGGAGUUGUGGAAAACCGGGCUGGGCUUGUUGAAGCAAAGGACCCUGCAAAGGUGUGGACGGACCUACCUACCUCUCCUGGGUUUUGGCAAGCAUGAUAUUAGGAACUCCUCCAAGCAAUGAAGAUUUAGCCCAUUUAUUUUCUUCCCCACCCUCAGGACAGGGAGAUAAUGUUGGCAGCCCUUCAGAUGAUGUAUUUGGGGAACACUGAAAGGCCCAUCAUGUAUGCAGAAAUCCCCACCAUUAGACUUCUAUGCAUUAAGACAUUGUCUCUAAAAAGACAGUUAAAGUGUAAUAUGUUACUUGAAGGGAUAAAAGUAGAAUGUACCUUAGCAUGGAUUAGUUUACCAGAAUAGCUAGCUAUCACUUUGGCAACAGGUCUUUAAGAAAAUAGAUUUAAGCAAGUAAUUUUGAUAUAAGCAUAAUAAAAGAAGGAAGUGAAAGGAGGAGGACUUUUGGAAGUGAGUCAUGAGGGACUCUGAGAGACCAGGAGAGGCUACUGGGUGCCAAAAACAGACGAAAACAGAGAAAGCAGCUACACAAAUUUGCUCAUAUUCUACCCAUUUUGUCUCUGCUGUAAGCUUUCUGAAAAGAAAGAUUUCAAUACCAAAGUAACCUUAUCCUUAUGAAGGCAGAAACUGUAUCUUUUCUUUUAUCUGCUUAAUUCCACAAUGCUUUGCACAAUGAAUACUCAAAUUUUGACAGUUAAGGAAUCACAAAAAUACUGUAUCUUAGAUUGCCUUGCUGGAAAGCUGUCAGACUCUAGGUUCAAUGAAAGACACACCCGUACAAUGGUUUGUUUUGUGUUUUAGGUUCACAGUACAGUUUUUAUGAACAUGAGUACAUAAACUGCUUUAUUUCAUUUUUUUUCUCUGCCCCAUAUGAUCUGCAGGAA
rnacentral:lncRNA from 10 species